GAUGAAGAACGUAGCGAAAUGCGAUACUUGGUGUGAAUUGCAGAAUCCCGGGAACCAUCGAGUCUUUGAACGCAAGUUGCGCCCGAAGCCAUUAGGCCGAGGGCACGCCUGCCUGGGCGUCACACGUCGUUGCCCCCCCAUCUACUCCUUCGGGAUUGCGGGGGGCGGAUGAUGGCCUCCCGUGCGCCUCGUCGCGCGGUUGGCAUAAAUGCCAAGUCCUCGGCGACGCACGCCACGACAAUCGGUGGUUGCGAAACCUCGGUUGCCCGUCGUGUGCGGUCGUCGCGCAUCGAGGGCUCGAAAAAAUUGCCGGGCUCCGGCUCGGCUUUCAACGCGACCCCAGGUCAGGCGGGGUUACCCGCUGAAUUUAAGCAUAUCAAUAAGCGGAGGA
rnacentral:misc_RNA from 1 species